CCUUGUUAGAUGUUAGCUCAGUUGGUAGAGCAGGAGAUGCCUAAUCUCAGGGCCGUGGGUUCGACUCCUGCAUCGCAGGA